GCGGGCAUGGCGGAACUGGCAGACGCGCCAGACUUAGGAUCUGGUGGGGUUACCUGUGGGGGUUCAAGUCCCUUUGCCCGCACCA
rnacentral:tRNA from 1 species